AAAGCAGUGCAGAUUUUUUUGUAUAUUAAAUGUAUUAUUUUUUAGAAGUCUGUACAUGUUUUGAACUACUUUGCACAUUUGCAAUAUAUUGUCGUAUUCAAAACACACAAUGAGAUGUUGUGUAUGUGGGAACUGUUGAGUCAUGGCCUAAACAACUGGUUGAUCACCUGGGGAAAAGACCUGGUCAGCCCUGGGAACACAGGUGAAGGCAAUUCAUCUAUGUAACCAGAAGGGGUGGAGCCUGGCUGCAGCUCUCUCCUCUCUUAGACCUCAUUUAAGGGCUGACUGUCACUUGGGAAGGAUCCCUUUCUGGAGAUCCUUCCUUGAUGAGUCUUUUCCCCUGCAAACCUGGAAUCUUCUGAUACAGUUCAGUAGAAAGUGAAAGCUGAAGUGGCAGUGACCAUAAAAAGCAGCUAGAAGACAAGCCUGGCUCUGCAACUCGUAGGAGAAGGAAAGUUGAGGGUCUACGUCAUGGAAAACUCCAGAACAAAAUACAUUACCAAGGUGCUGCUGGAGAUUGAUACUGAAGUGUUGAAAGGUUAUUUAAGCAAUCUGUUUUACUUCCUGGAAGAAAGUGAGUGAAACAUCUUUGGCUGAGAAAGCAUGGAAAGGGAAGAUCUCUCUAAACAAGUUUUCUCUGACAUGGUUAUUUUACUCUGUACAAAUUCAUCCACGUGUUAAAACAUCCAGAAUUUUCAGUUUAACUAUGCCUCAAUUCUAAUACAAAAUAAGGGAGCUAGAACUUUACCCAUGAAAUACAGUAUGUUAAUAAGAGUAAAAUAGCAAUAUGAUGAAUCCAUAGGGCAGUAAAUGUGCUAUUCUGGCUGUUAAUCAGAUUUGAAAGACAACUGUCAGUAUGUUGUGAUUAUAUCACACUUAUAAAUGUUCUUUUCAGUUUAAUGUAACAUUUGCUAAAUUCAGGUCUACAUUUCCAGGUAAAUUCAAAAUUUCACCUGUAAUCAUUAUGGGAACUGUUAAUAAGCCCUAAAGAGGUAAUAUGUAAACAUUUAUAGUUGUUUUUAUCAAUCGUGGUCAAUUUAGUUGGCUAAAAUGUUCUAGUGUUAUUUGCUGCCAAUAUUAAUGUUUAUCCAUGCAAUUCUCUAGUUGUAUUCAUUAUACACACUUUGAUUGAAAAAUUCAGAGAUGAAAAUUCAAGAUCAUAUGAAAAGGUGUAUUUGUGCAAUCAUUCACUCCUGAGAAAAUUGAUAAAAUGUGGGCCUAUUAAAUGUAAAAAAAGGUAAGAUGUACAGAAAACUAUUUUUUUGUUUCUAAACAAGAAAAAAACAUGACUUCACUUUUUGACUUAAGCCAAAAAAGAUGAUGUUUAAGGGUACAGCAAAAUUCAGAAGUAUUCAAGUAUGUGUCAGGAACGUGCAGAGUACUGGUAAGGAAUUUCUUUGUUAUACUUAAACACUGUUUUAAUUUCUACCAGAUAGUAUCACAAGGAUUUAUUCUGUGAAGAGGUAACUGUGGAAAGGCUACAAGCAGGAUAGAUGUUAGCCUACUGUGGUAUAUCCUAUACUUUCUCUUGCCUCUGUCAGAGAUGGACACUGAACUGAAAAUACUGCAAGUUUAAUAAGACAUUGGAAUUCUUUCAGUUCCUACAGUGCAUCAGCACUCAAAAUGAAUCCACUGUAGAUCUCCCAUGCAGCCUGAAGCUGAAGAGCGUGAGGCCUGACUCCUGAUGACAUAUUGCCCUUACAUUUCAGCAAACAGUUGUUAUUAUAAAAGAUUACAAAGACUUAUGAAGUACUGUGGUUUUCCACGCUAAUAGAUGUUCCAUCUCUACAUCACUGGGUAGUAAGAAUGAUUCUUUUGCAUACUAGAGAAAUUUAUUCAAGUACUUUUUAAAGGUGUAGGGGAAAGGAAUUCAACAGAAAACAAAUUUGUAUAGAAGUAGCUUUCUUUUUCUUUCCUCUGAGAUAAUCCAGCUUUUCAUAGAAAUGCAGAAGCUGUUUGCCAUGUCUUAUUUUUGUUAAUCAGUUGUGUUUGUGUAUUUUAAUUCUGAUUUCUAUAAAAAUGAGGAAUUAUACAAGAUAUUCACAAAAGAAAGAAAAAGUUAUUUUACUAAGCAGUGUUGUUAUGUAGACUAUUACUUCUACUGUUUGUAAGA